UGUUUUACUUCCUGUUUUACUUUGUAGUAUUCAGUACUCAUGUGUCCUUGUCUAGCUUUGCUGCCUGUUUGAUUACCUGAUGUGCUUCAGCUUCCCUCCCUGCUCGUUUGUCUGUGUAUACAAGCCCUUAGUUUAGUCCCUAUCUGGUCCUUGUUGUUGUCCAGUGUUGAGUGUGCUGCUGUGCCUUGUUCCCUGUGUUCUGAGUUCCUGGUUUGGAUUUCAGCCUUGUUUGGAUUUUACCUGCAUCUCUGCUGUUCCUGCCCCAUAUAAAUGAGCACCAGCUGCAGUAGUCCAGGAAUUAUCCACUACCCAGUGACACUCACUACUGAUGAUGCAUGGACAUCCAGGCCUACAGAGAGCUGCUAACUCUGAAUCCGAUGGUUGAGAUUGCAGGCAGGGUGCAAACUACGGGGGAGCUCCUCUUAACAAGACGGUAGAUCACCUGAUGGAUCAUGGCGCAAACUACAAUGGGAAUGCCUGAAUCCAUGGUUCUGGACAGUGGACACACUCCAUUGGCUUUCGGCUUUCAGCAGUGGUCAGUCGACUCUUGGCUCCAGCUCUAUUAAGCAAACGCCCAGUCCUCAUCGCUGCUCAGCUCUACUAAGCUUCCAUUUCCUCCUGGUUUCCUGUCAGUGGCCCAGCCAACACCUGUUCCUGCUUCACCAAUCAUCAGCCAGGCCAUCUCCCGAUCCUUGUUCCCAGUGGGAGCUACAGCAGUGACCAACUCCUGUGCCACAGCAGUCACCAGUUCCAGAGCUGCAGCAGUCUCCUGUUUCCCUGGCUCCGCUGGCUCACCUGUCAGACUCCCAGUUGUUGCCAAGGAGCUGAACAAACACAAAACAAUCCCUGCUACCUGCGUGUGCUAAUCCAUUCUUUCACCCAGAUUCUUUGUCUUUAUAAUUGGUAUCUCUAUAAUAACAAACAACAGCUGUUUUGUGUGUAGGUUCACGUCAUUUCCCGUUACACAUUUCACAACCGUGAUGUUUUAAAACGCGGUUAAUAGUGAAAUCCGGUAAUCGCUGCACCCUUGGUUACAGGUUUAUUGUUGAUCAUGUCACAUCAGGUUGACUUACAGUAAGCUGUCAUUAAUUGCAUUAAUUGCAGCUGUAAAGCAGCCUGGUUUGAACGUAGCAGGUGAUACAACAUUCAUGACUGACUUGAGACUUGACUUGACUCUAGCUCAAAUACUUGUGAGCAUCUCUAGGCCGAUGCGAUAUGCAUCUCGAUGCAUUGCCACGGUCCGGUACAUUAAAGACACAUAUGAAGCAAGUACCACUGUGGUACAAUACAAUUUACCCCAGUGUGAUUCUACACAAAUUUAUUCAACACAAUGCGAUAAAAUGCCAUAUGACACGAUGCAAAAGAAUGAGCAUAAGCUAUGCAAUUCAAUAUGGUACAGAGACUUUGAUUUGAUUUGACUAUAUUAAUCAUACAUUUACUAAAUCCUAAAUUACAUCACAUAUGUGUUUCUCUAGUACUGCAACAGUAUAAGCAUCUCACACAGUUUCUGACAAAUAAAGCUGGGCCUGGACCUUGCCUCUAACAAGUCCUUCUUUCUUGUUCUCUCUGCUCAGUUACUAUAUCUGUAAAAAAAAAAACUUGGGGUUUGAAAUCGUUUUUUUUUUAUCUUAAAAGUGAUUUUUUCUUUUCCCAAUUGGUUUAGGGUCGAACCACAUACCUUGCAGUUAUGUGGUGCUCUGUCUACUCUGCCACUACUUGCCCAGGCUGUGAAACCAAUAACCUGAAUAGAACUUUAACAGUUCAAAUUCAAGCAACCAAUUUAAAGCUUAAAUAAAAUAUGGUUGAAAGUAUGCAGAGGUAGAACAACUUCAAAGUGGAUUAGGUUGAACAGAAUUUGAAUAUUUUCCCCAUUUUUUUCCAUUAUAAAAAAAAUACAAAAAAGGCAGAAUACAAGCAUAAACGUCCUUAAAGAGCAUAAUGUUUUAACAUUUGAAUGGUUUCUGUAGCUCAAAGCAUGCAGAAGUAGUAGUAGUAACAAUAACAAGAGGUCAAAUUAAAGAUGAACAAUAGUCAGCAUUCACACUAAUUCUAUCAAAAGACUAAACCAUGUAGAUACCCAAUAAAACAUUUACAAGUUUAACACAAUAAAAAGCACACCCUGUCUCUGAGAGACUUAAAGCUUAACACACAGACAUCAUUAACAUCACACCCUCCUGGAAUCAGGGCGACUCAUUCUUUCCAGCAUCUCCAAUGUCCAUUAUUGACACAUGUCCAUAAAUCUUGGAACAAAAGACACUCCUUAGAACUUCAGAUCUUACCUGAAGAUCAAGGUGAUUGUUGUCUGUAAUGCAAACAGGAGCUGCUGGAGCUACAGCAAUGACUUUUAGAGAGCAGAUUCACCAAAUGGCAAAAAAAAUAAAAAUAAAACUCUGCUCACUGUCUCCUUGGCAAUAUUAUACUUUCUGUUUACAUUACCAAAAUCAUGAUUUGGACCCUGGUAUGCAAAUUCCAAAAAAAAGGGGCCCCCUAGGGCUGUGUGCUGACCUGUUUACAGCCUGUUCACCCUGUAGCUGUCUGGUAAGAGGUACAGAAGUAUCUGCUGUCGCACCACCAGAUAUCAGAACAGCUUCUUUCCUCAGUUGAGACUCCUCAACUGUAUGUUCUGUGUGUGUUCUGUAAAGAGGGCUACAAUUUACAUUUUUAUUGUGCCGACCUGUGUUGUAGAAUGCAUUCUACAUCAUGUCAUAUGACAAGUAAAUGUACCCUGAACCUGGAAAAUAGCUAAAUUAAUUUUUCCAAAAGAAAAAGGAUUUACAAAAUCCAUAAAUUAAACUUCUUUUUGUUUUUCGCAAUCAGCCCAAUUUUUUUAAAGAACUAAAUCUCAUUUUGUCCCAUCAACAUGGUUCCUGUGUCACUGCACGUACUCUCCCCUAUUCACUGACUUAUAUUGAAAUUUGCCAUUUUUUCAGCAUAUGGCAAAGAUUUGUGCAAAGAUUUAAUCAAAAUUAUUUUAAAUUGCAUAAUAACUAUAUAGUAUAGUACAACUUACAUGUUAACUGAUGGCAUUUAAAUUUUUCUGGAAAUAAUCAUAAUAUAUAUCAUGUAACAAUAAGACAUGUCACUGCUGUAGAGUGAAAGUGAGCAAAAGAGAAAGAAAGCCUAGAUUUAAAAGAGUAAAAUCAUAAUGUGGACCCUGGUAUGCAAGUGCCAACACAGGAACCCCCCAGGGCUGUGUGACCCUUCAGAUUCUAGCUCAAUUUUGGAUGACUCAGGCCCCAUCCACACACCACACUACUCGUAUUCGUUUUAUCUCCGCCCACACCAGCUUUUUAACUAUGUAUCAGAAUUGAUCUACGUUUAUAUUAAAACUAGGGC